CUUUCAGUAGCAUAGUUGGUAAAGCUCUCGUCUAGCAUACAAAAGUCGUGAGUUCGAAUCCCACCAGAGAAC
rnacentral:tRNA from 1 species